rnacentral:rRNA from 1 species
UGACUCUAUGUUAAACGGCCGCGGUAUACUGACCGUGCCAAGGUAGCGCAAUCACUUGCCCUUUAAAUGGGGGCCCGUAUGAACGGCGCCACGAGGGCUAAUCUGUCUCCUUCUUCCAGUCAAUGAAAUUGAUCUCCCCGUGCAGAAGCGGGGAUAAACACAUAAGACGAGAAGACCCUGUGGAGCUUUAGAUACUAAGAUUGAUCCCCUCAACAUACUCUGACAAAAGUAUUUAAACAAGGAAUUCAAUCAGAUUAUCUUUGGUUGGGGCGGCCGCGGGGAUCAAAAUAACCCCCAUGUGGACCGGGAAUCUCAGUUACACUCUAGUACUUUUUAUUCCUACAAUCAAGAGUCACCACUCUAAACAACAGAACUUCUGACCAACAAUGAUCCGACAAAGUCGAUCAACG